rnacentral:rRNA from 1 species
CAAGUUUCUUUUAUAGAUCAUAGUCGAGGCACCUCCACGGGCAGGGAUAUAGUGUGGGGGUAGUGGGUCAACCACUUGAGUGAGGUCGUUGGUAUAGGGAAGAGGACGGGGCCUGAGGACGUCGUAGACUUCGAGCGGAAGCGGUGCGUACGUCCCAUGAUGUACUUCACUGGAUCUUGUGUACCUUCCCCUAUUCAAGGUCCUUCUCUAGCUUACGGAGUACCUCCACUUCGUGUUUUUGCAGCGUGCCAAAGAUCCUAUAACACGGCUGUGCGUUCCCUCUCUCCAUCUGAAACUCCCUUCGAAACAUUACCGUCUACAUGCUGCUGUCAAGGAGACAAAAUUCAUAGCUGUGUUUCUAUGUGUGUCACCUCAACUUACCUCUCUCGUGAUACUUUAUUAGUUCCUUUAACGUUCCCAAAUACCAUGGAAGUGGCAUUAGUAUAAUAAGUGAACCUGGAUUUUGGACUAUUAUAUAACAACCUACUAUUAUACCAUGGCUUUUAUCGACUGAAACCAGAGAGUUUCAUGAAAGCACGGCCUAAUAGUAAAGUUUUAAACCUACUUGUAGCCCAAUAAACCGUGGUCUUAAGAUGCCACCUUUCGAGUGUAAGUUCAGUCUGUAUAUGUCAAACCCACAAUAUUAGUAUCUCUAUAAUUAUACGGCAUACUUUAUAUGGUUUCUGACGAGACGAAACUCAUAUAUGGGUUUCCCAUAGAAAUACUAAUAUAGUGGCCAGUGUAAGUUCAGUCUGUAUAUGUCAAACCCACAAUAUUAGUAUCUCUAUGAUUGUACUGUAUACCCUAUAUGGUUUCUAACGAGACGAAACUCAUACAUAGAUUUCCCUCAGAAGUACUAAUAUAGUGGCUACGUAGAGCACCUGAACUUACCCCGUUCUCCAUAGAUUAAUAAUUUCCUUAAACACUCCCGAAUAUAAUGGAAUUUGUUCUUUCAUAAUAAUUGAAUCUAGACUUUGGUCGGUUAUAUAGCCACCUGUUGUUAUACAACGGGUUUUAACGGCUGAAACCAGAGGGUUCUACAAUACUACUUUUAGUUUUAACCUAGUUACAUUCGGCCAAUUCAGAGAGUUUCGAGUAGUUACCACCGAAACAUCACCAAAUAUUCCCUUAAGAAAUUUUACCCCCUUAGCGACACUUCUUCGAAAGGUUGUACAGAAUAUAAGUACUAUCGCUUAAGCUCACUCUCCGACUUACAAACUACUUCUGGUUCGUGUUUUUCAUGCCAAAUACUCAAUAAACCGAUACGUGUAUCCCUUUACCGAAGGAUGCUCCCUUUUUAAAGGUACCAUCUACAUGUUGUUUCCAACGAGACGAAACUCAUAGAUGGUUUUCCUUCAGAAGCACUGAUAUAGUGGCUUACGAAUACCUAUACUUACCUCUCUCGCGACAUUAUAUUAGUUUCCUUAAACACUCCCAAAUUCAAUAGAGGUGUUCUUGGUAUAACAAGUGAAGCUGAAUUUGGCUGUUUAUAUGAAAUACCUUAUAUUAUACCAAGGAUUUUAUUGACUGAAACCAUAGAGUUCUACAAAACUACUUUGUUCCGGCACAAUAAUGAAGUUUUCACUACCCUAAUCACAUGAGUUUUAAACCUCCUUAUCUAACCUGUCUAGUGACCCUCCAUCUGCUGACCUUGCUCAUACGAGACUCACUACCUCACGUAACUGUGGCUCCGUCGCUCCUUUGGUUCAGGAAUCGUAUACUCGUUCGUAGAGUCGGCGGCCUCCCCAGUUACGAGCAGUUACACCUACGUCGCUAGAAGAGGGUUAGACGUUCUCGCCCGAAACCAGGCCACUAUGUAUUAGUGGACCCUUCCCACGUGUCCGCCACUUGUCUCCGAUGAAGCUUUCUCAAGUUUAAGAACUUCAUCGUCUUCGGUACCGUGAAGCAGUUCAGAAUUAGGAACGGUUAUUUUGACCAUAUUACUUCUAGUACGCUAACGGAUAGUAACCCAAAUCCAAAACUAUCCAGGGGAUGAUCUCGGUAUCAGGUACCAUAAUCUUUUACACGGUGUUUUAAACAUAGAACAUGAAAAUAGGUACAGUUAGCAAGAACAUCCGUGAUCCGUCGUGUACAAGACCAUAGGUACAGUUAGCAAGAACAUCCGCCGUAUACAAGCCGAUUUAGCCGUCAACCGAAUUACCCAAGGGACUACAUUAUUCCUAGUAAUAUACAUUACUUAGUCAAUACUUACUUAUUUUCCCACGUUGACGGGUAAUGGA